rnacentral:rRNA from 1 species
GGAUUAGAUACCCUGGUAGUCCACGCUGUAAACGAUGAGAACUAGCCGUUGGUCUUUAGAUAGACGAGUGGUGAAGCAAACGCAUUAAGUUUUCCGCCUGGGGAGUACGGCCGCAAGGUUAAAACUCAAAUGAAUUGACGGGGGCCCGCACAAGCGGUGGAGCAUGUGGUUUAAUUCGAUGCAACGCGAAGAACCUUACCUACUCUUGACAUCCUCGGGAUCUUUCAGAGAUGAAGGAGUGCUUAAUUGAGCCGAGAGACAGGUGCUGCAUGGCUGUCGUCAGCUCGUGCCG